AGGGUGUCCAACGGUUUCAAAAUCCGCCGUUGCAAAACGUGUCGGUUCGAGUCCGACCCCGGGCACCA
rnacentral:tRNA from 1 species